rnacentral:lncRNA from 1 species
ACAGUUUAAACGAUAAAACAUUUUGAAUAAAUAGAUCUACGAAAAAAGGAAAAAAUGUUACAUUACGACAUGUGACACAACUUGUUACAACACGAGAAGGUGGAAGUGACUUUAGAAGAUGUAUAUCUCAAUUAGUGAUUUAGUAAAAAAAGCAUGAUGCAACAUGAAUCAAAAUGGGCCGGUCUAGCAUGGCAUGACAAAACACGCGGGGCUAGACCUGAAAGUUGAGAAAUUCUUCUAAAAAAGCAGCUACUCAUUUAGAAAAAUAAAUUUGAAUUAUUUUGUGUUUUAGAUAAAAUAAUUUAUACAACCAUGAAUGUUUAUACUGUUUGAAAUUUUUACAAAUCUAAACACAAUAUUAAUGGAUUCCAAAAUAAUAUUCAUGAAAUUGAAAAAUAUGUGCACAAAUUUAGAGAAAAUUCAAAACAUUUAAAAUCCACUGAUUUACCAAUAGUAAAAAUAUAUCAAGCGUGUUUUCUAAAUGCAUUUACACAAUGCGUUUUGGCACAUGGAGCUAUACCUAGGCAUACGACAGGUCGGGCCGGGCUUAGGGGCAGGCCGAAAAAGCCCGGUGCUCAAUACCCAAUCCCGGGCCUGGCCCGGCCUAACCAUCGGACCUAAAUACUAUGCUCAAGCCCGGCCCGAGCCCGACCCGAUGGCAUGAUUAGGCUCGGACCUGCCCGAAAUUUCCGGGGCGUCCGGACCGGGUUGUCCAUGGCUAGUUAUACAUGAUGCCCACAACAACCGAUAUAUGAAAUUAAAUGGGUGGGGCCACCUACAGCGCCACACUCCCUAUUUAGGGAAGCUUCAUGUUUUUUUGGGUUGUUUGGUAAGGGUUUUCACCCUGGAUUUUGUUUGCCUUUUUUCUUCUUAUUUUUUUAGUUUUUUCCUUUCUUUACUUUUGGUCGUUGAUUUUUUUAUUUUGGAAAAUAAAAUAAAAUUCGUGUAAACUUUCCCAUUUGGUGAUUUUUUUCAUAUUCCUGAACUAUUUUGAAAUAUGAUUUAUAAAUUCCUAUCUAUUUUUAUUUUUAUUUCUUCCCGUUUGGUGAACUUUAAAUAUUUUUAUUUUUGUGGUUUGUUUAAAUACAUGAUUUCUUCUCAUAAUAUGGAACAUUUUCAUGAUGUUGAGAACUUUUUUCUCAAAUUCGUGAGCAUAUAUUACAUCCGUGACCCUUUUUGAAAUUUAGUAUCAUAAUUUUUAAAAUCUAAUAAUUUUCAAAUUCACAAUCAUUUUUUAUAAUUUUUGAAAAGUCAAUGGUCAACAUUACUUGUCAAAAGGUCAACGGGUGCGUGAGCUUCAAUUGGCCAAGUUGGCGCACAAGGCACUGACUAGGAGGUCUCUUCUCUAUGCCAUCUUCUGUUUCCAUCCUGUACAUCCUGGCUUAUAUAGCCCGAAGACACCGAAAAAGCACAGCAGAGACCGGGCUCCAGUGAGUUCCGU